rnacentral:rRNA from 1 species
GUGAGGAAUAUUGCGCAAUGGAGGCAACUCUGACGCAGCCAUGCCGCGUGCAGGAAGAAGGCGCUACGCGUUGUAAACUGCUUUUAACCGGGAAGAAACCCCAGGACGUGUCCUGGGUUGACGGUACCGGAGGAAUAAGCACCGGCUAACUUCGUGCCAGCAGCCGCGGUAAUACGAAGGGUGCAAGCGUUAUCCGGAUUCAUUGGGUUUAAAGGGUGCGUAGGCGGAGCGUUAAGUCAGUGGUGAAAUCCUGCAGCUUAACUGUAGACUUGCCAUUGAUACUGGCGCUCUUGAGUGCGCUUGAAGUGGGCGGAAUGUGCCGUGUAGCGGUGAAAUGCUUAGAUAUGGCACAGAACACCAAUUGCGAAGGCAGCUCACUAAGGCGAUACUGACGCUGGGGCACGAAAGCGUGGGGAUCGAACAGGAUUAGAUACCCGUGUAGUCC